rnacentral:rRNA from 1 species
AAAUUGAAGAGUUUGAUCAUGGCUCAGAUUGAACGCUGGCGGCAGGCCUAACACAUGCAAGUCGAGCGGAAACGAG